AGGACUGGCUAAGGUGGGAGGGCUGG
rnacentral:piRNA from 1 species